rnacentral:rRNA from 1 species
CCCGAUCGGACCCCGGACGUGAAGUCGACGAUGGUCGGUGGGCUGGUUUUGGUAAGCAGAACGGGCGAUUCGGGAUGAACCGGAAGCGGGGAGAAAGGGCCCGAGAUUGCGUCGACGCGGAUCCCGAAAAGGGCGUCGAUCCGUCGCGACAGCGGGACGGUGGUCAUGGAAGUCGAAAUCCGCUAAGAAGCGUGUAAAAACGUACCCGCCCAACGGAUCGGCCCCGAAAAUUGAUGGCGCUCGAACGCAACCCUCGAACCCCGCCGACGGAGGCUAGGGGAGGCCCCGUCGAGUAGGCGGACGCGCGGGUCGCUUCGACGCUCUCGCGCGAGCGGGGGCGGAGCGGCCCGUGGUGCAGAUCUUGGUGGUAGUAGCGAUCACCCAGGCGAGAACCCUGAGGGCCGAAGUGGAGAAGGGUUUCUCGAGAACGGC